AUUGAACGCUGGCGGCAUGCCUUACACAUGCAAGUCGAACGGUAACGGGCCUUCGGGUGCCGACGAGUGGCGAAUGGGUGCGUAAUACAUCGGAACGUGCCCGAUCGUGGGGGAUAACGAGGCGAAAGCUUUGCUAAUACCGCAUACGAUCUACGGAUGAAAGCAGGGGACCGCAAGGCCUUGCGCGGACGGAGCGGCCGAUGGCAGAUUAGGUAGUUGGUGGGAUAAAAGCUUACCAAGCCGACGAUCUGUAGCUGGUCUGAGAGGAUGAUCAGCCACACUGGGACUGAGACACGGCCCAGACUCCUACGGGAGGCAGCAGUGGGGAAUUUUGGACAAUGGGCGCAAGCCUGAUCCAGCCAUGCCGCGUGCAGGAUGAAGGCCUUCGGGUUGUAAACUGCUUUUGUACGGAACGAAAAGCCUUCUUUUAAUACAGGAGGGUCAUGACGGUACCGUAAGAAUAAGCACCGGCUAACUACGUG
rnacentral:rRNA from 1 species